rnacentral:rRNA from 1 species
GAUGAACGCUGGCGGCGUGCUUAACACAUGCAAGUCGAACGAAGCACCUUUGGCGAAAUCCCUCGGGAGGAAGCUGAUUGUGACUGAGUGGCGGACGGGUGAGUAACGCGUGGGUAACCUGCCUUAUACAGGGGGAUAACAGUCAGAAAUGACUGCUAAUACCGCAUAAGCGCACAGUGCCGCAUGGCACGGUGUGAAAAACUCCGGUGGUAUAAGAUGGACCCGCGUCUGAUUAGCUUGUUGGCGGGGUAACGGCCCACCAAGGCGACGAUCAGUAGCCGACUUGAGAGAGUGAUCGGCCACAUUGGGACUGAGACACGGCCCAA